GGAUAGCUCAGUUGGUAGAGCAACAGACUGAAAAUCUGUGUGUCGGUGGUUCGAUUCCGCCUCCG
rnacentral:tRNA from 1 species